rnacentral:lncRNA from 1 species
AAAAAUAAAAAGAUGGAAAGAGAGACAAGUGGGGGGAGUCAGUGAAAAAGAGGGCUGUUGGGGGCGAGAGAAGAAGAGGCUGCCUUGCGCAGCCUGAGCGCAGGAAACGGAGAGAAGACGUGCGGGAAAGAGAGAGACCACAGUGCACUGUGAUCAAGAAAACAGAAAAAAAAAAUAUAAAGGAGAAGGCUCCUUUGAGCAGCGGAAGAGAGGGGUGCGAAGGAGAGGCACAGAGAAAAGCAAGAAAAGAAAGAGUCAGGCGGAGAGACUGGCGCGGGGAGCAGCAAGGGCAGCGUGGGCACGAACGCAGCAGAUCAUCUAUUCUCGGUUAAAUCUUUCUAAAUUUAUAUUUUAUUUCUGUUUUAAUAAUGUGUAACUAAAUUUAUUUUGGCUAGAGGUUAAUUCAAAGCCAUGAAUAUAUUUGUAAUAUGAAUUGAUUACCUUCAGUUGUGAUUUCUAAGUUGUGAUUUAAUUUGCUUAACUGCUUGAUUGAUAACUUAUUUUUGUAUGUCGAUUAAGGAUGCAUACUUAAUUUACAUGCAUGAAUUUGAUGCUAGAAUAUAAAUGAAUUUCACCUAAUCGUUAUGAACUUAUAUUCACAAGUAGUGAAGGUUGUUAUCUACAAUCGUGUUAAGUAAAUUCUUGGCAAGAGUAUCAUGCUUUUCAUAGUUACGAAUGCCUCGUCAAUGCUUAUAGUUUUCACAAAGUUUAAUGAUCUUUGAUUGUAUCUCUAUUGUGCUUUUCACGUAGGGGACUUUUGAAGAAUGUUUUGAAUUGUUGUAUGCGUUUUCCCGUCCAAUUCAAUAACUUAAGGAAAACUUGAAGAUUAAAAAAGUGCUGUUCACGGUUAAUCUGAAGUGUUGAGAUUCACAACUUAUUGAAAGAACAACUGAAAAUCAAUUUAGGUUGCAUAUGUGUCAUGUGUGGAGAAGAACCCUCUAGCUAAUCCAUCACCUAUCCUUUCACCUUAAUUUCAUGUUUUUGUCAAUUCUGUAAUUUAUUUAAGUUUAAUUUACUUCUCAUCAAAACCAAACCCCCCAUUAUUAAAUUAUAUUAUUUAGUUAGUUUUCAUUGUUGUUAGUCUUUUAAUUCAAUUUCCGUCCAUUUCAAUUCCUAGUGUCUAUUUUGAUUGUUUUUAUUAUUUUGAGUCAUUUUAAGUGUGUUUCGAAUUAUUAGAGUUUUUAGCCUAGUUUUGUGUCCUUGAGUCUUGUUUAAUAUUUUUUACUUUGUUUUUUAUGUUUUUAAGAGGUUUUAGCAAGCCCUCCUAAUCCCCGGCCUAGAACGAUACCCUACUUAUACUUAUACUACAAUUGACAAAAAGAGGGUUUAAUUUUGUGUGUGAACUUAUUUUACGCAUCAAAUUUUGGCGCCGUUGCCGGGGAUUAGCAAAGUUGCUAAUCCCUUGUCUUAAGUCUUGUUUAAAUUGUUUAGUUUUUUUUUAUUUUUUUAUUUUUUUAUUUUUAUUUUUUAUUUUAUUAUUAUUUUAUUUUAUUUUAUUUUUUUAUAAUUACCCUGUUUUGUUUACUUAUGAUAUUUGAUUUAGUUUUAUUUCUUUGAUAUCAGGUACUAAAAGAAGUAAGACAUGGCAAUUGCUAAUCUUCAAGCUCAAAUGGCAAUUCUUACUUCUCAAUUGUCACAGUACAUCGAAAGGACCACAAUACAAAGCACCCCUACAUUCGAUGUGUCCUAUACGCAAGGAUAUCAAGCAGAUCAACAUCCACAAAGGAGUUGGGAGAGUUAUCAUGAUCAUAAUCAAUCAAUGAACAACUUGUUUUCCAACACGUAUAGUUCAGAUUGGAGGGAUCAUUCAAACACUAUGUGGUGGGAACCUCAACCAGUUCAACACGAAGGAUAUUGGCAGCCAUAUGAGGAGUUCUAUACAACGCCUAUGCAGCCACCACAACCUGCCCCGCAACAAUUCCAAUCAAAUUCAGGUUCGUCAAUAGAUUGUGCUCAAAUUCUUGAUGUACUAACUUCUUUGACGCAUGACCAACAAAAUCAAGAGAAGGAGUUGGAAGAAUUGAAGAGUCAAAUGGGAGAGAUUAUGGAAUUCAUGGUACAAAUUCAAGAGCAAGGUGACUUGAAGGAUGAAGCUGUCCCAGAACCAUCCAAACACAGCCCGAACAUGGAUGAAUUGCUGCUGCAAGCAGAAGAGGAGGAGGACGACCUGGGCAGUUUAGAAGAAUUCUUGCUGCAAGCUCCUCAAAUCCCUAUGUCAUCCAACUCAGGUGAGGAAGUUCUAAAUUCACUUCAUUCUAACAUUAUUCCACCGAAUGUCCUUUGUCCUUGCAGGUUUUUGAUUCCAAAUAUCAAAGAGAGUGAAAAAGACAUUGUGGAAGCUCUUCCAAAAGUGCAAAGUGAUAUCUCAAUUCUUGGUGCACCAAAACAAGUUCCCGAUGGUUUUGAAACGUUCAAAGAACCUUGCACACCAAGAAAAGGGAUUCAAGAGAAUGAAGUGGUUGAAGCAUAUCAAGAAUACAUCCAAGAGGCUGUGCAUGAGACAAUCAAGCCCAAAGCAGUUGAGUUUGAUGACACGGGACAAGCCACAACCAUCAUAGUAAACCUGGCCAAGUCCAAUAUCCCUGAAACUUUCAAAAAUGUGGUGUUUGUCAUUGAGUUCUUGUCGGACAAAGCAAGUAAGCCAUCUUCUCCAAUUUCGAUUUUAGUAUAUACUAACUUGUUGAUUUUGAUGAUUCAGGCACCUACACUAGAAUUUAAACCAUUGCCGGAUCACGUCAAGUAUCACCGUCCAUUCAAGGAUCAAUUCCAUGCUAUGGGCCCUAUCCAAGUUUAGAAGGAAGUAUCGUCCGGCUGCAAGACGUUAAAGAAAGCGCUUUUUGGGAGGCAACCCAUGUAUUCAAAAAAAAAAAGGAAGAUCUAUGAAUCGCUCUACAAUCAGUUUUGCGUUUCUAAAAACCUUCACUUUUCUGCAUUUUUAUUUUGCCAUGAUUGUCAUUUUUUUUUUUUUUUUUUUAUUUAUUUUUGUUUAUUUAAUUAUUUUUGGGUGUGGGUUUAUUUUUGAAACAUUGAUAGAUAUGCAAGAUAUUCUUACAUUCUUUUUCAUGAAAAAAAAAAAAAAAAAAAAAAAAAAAAAAAAAAACUUAAACUUAAAAAUAUUUUACAAUGAUGUGUGAACUAAUAGCAUUCAUUGGUCAGGUGGUGCUUCAGUAGUCGGCGGAGCUUCAGCAGUCGGCGGGGCCACGGAAGGAGGAGGUAUCUGAGGUUGAUCAGUUGGAGCUUCACUACGCGGUGUCGCCCCAGAAGACGAAGGCAGAUGCGGUUGGAACAAACCCACAAACCUUCGGUGAUCAAGUAAAAUCUGACCAUCAGUGUCCUGCAUCUGGUCAAUCUUCCUCUUCAUGCUGGUGGCAUAGCUGUGUGCGAGCUUGUGCAAUUCCUUAUUCUCAUGCUUGAGCCCUUUAAUCUCUUGCUUGAGACUCUGUAUUUCAGCCACCAAGGAUUCAACGUGACGGGUUCGGGCAUAUAGGCGUUGGGCCAUGUUGGAUACGGAACCCGCACACUGCACACUGAGAGCCAGAGACUCCUUGACCGCCAAUUCAUCAGACCGCCUUGCGAGCAGUCUGUUAUCUCUGGGAGUGACAAGGUUUCGGGCCACCACCGCAGCGGUCAUGUCAUUUUUCAUCAUCGAAUCCCCCACGGUAAGGGGACCGGUAGGGGAUAUGAAGGAUGGCCGCCAUAUGUUGUCUGGUGAAGGCGGAGCUGCCUCUUCACCAAUGUUCAAGUCAAAACGACGAUCAGAAGGGCCAGACAUUUUUCAGAGGUGGUAAAGAAAGAAGAGAGUCGGAAUGAUCAAGAUUAAACAAGUGCAAGAAGGGAGUGUUUACAGGAGGGUACUCAAGUGUGUUGUGGAACAAGCUUAACGUCUCUAUAAAAAGGAAGAAAUCAAAGAGGCGCUCCUCAGAGAAGCGUCCUCUCGCAAAUCGAAGAGUCGGGGCUCCGUUCUCAAACGUCUGAUUCUUUUCUCAAAAGAGGAGUUUCCUUUCUCAAAAGCCGGAUUCUUUUCUCAAAAGAGGCGUUUCAUUUCAUUUCUUAAAGGCUGGGCUUGCUCAGAAACCACGAGCCGAACCCCGGAUUUCAAAAGAUCAAUUUGUCCAGACGUGUCGUCACUUGUCACACGCAAAUUGCUUUGCGGAAAUCUCGGGCAAUUUGUCGAAGCACCAAUUCAGAAAUCGAAGAGGGAAAUUCAACAGUCAAAGACACGCUAGCUUUCUCAAAAGCUGGGCUUCAACCCACGGGAAAAUCUUCUUUUCCAGAUUUAUCCGCACGUGUCACAUGCUACCUCUACAAUCGACGAUGCUCAGAGCUCGAAGCGCCGAUUACAGAUAUCAAUGAGGAAUCAGCUUUGCGGAAAUUACGGGCAGCUUUGUCAGAAAGCGCGUAAUUUGUAUUCUUCACCCAUCCACCGGCUGCCGACACUAAGUGAGAGAACAGUUCCGGUUGUGAAGACAAGUCCUAUAAGUUUCUACCUUCGCCUUCCACAGCAAAAGCACACUCUCUCAGCACACCCUCUCAACACCUCUUCAUCUCCGAAAAAUGCAUUCCCAAAGAAUCCUCUCGAGUCACUCUGUGUUCCUCAUUCCUUGGGAUACUCCUGCGAACAACCCAUUCAAAGCAAAAGUAUUUCAUAUCAUAAAGGUUGAAAGCAAGAGUAUCUCAUAUCAUGCAUUCUCCAUGUCCUUUUCCUUGUCUUUGUUCUAACCUGCAGGACAUGGAGAAAUUGCUCUCGAGUACUCGUCUUCCACUGCUGAUGUACUUCCAAAGAAGCUGCCACAUCUACCUGAAGAACAGAUAAGGCAAGCGAAAAUGAUACCAGCAGCAUGUGGAGACAACGUACAGAAGAAACAAGCAGAGAAGAAUGCAGCUCGUACAAUCAACCCAGCACAAGGAGUCCGAACUGAAGAACUAGAGAAGCUGCCACAUCUGCUUGGAGAACGAAUAAGGAACUGCAACAUUCCCAAAGAGCAAAGCUUCGCCGUACAAUAUCAUCAAAUCAUCACUUGCAAGUAAAAAGCUAAGUGUCACCCUGUUCAAGAGGAAAGCUGUGGAAAGUCAACAAGCACGACCAAUGAUUACUUAUUAGUUUUAUUCAUUAUCUUUUAUCGUAAUUUUCAAUUUUUCGUUUGCAAUUUUUUUUAAUUAAUUUCUUGCGUACUUAACUGAAUUAUUUCUUUUCUUUGCAGGAACUUUUGGUUAUUUCCACCCUUGAAGUUGAUUGCAGAAUUUUAGCUUGGGGGUCAUCGCUUGAUUUUACUGCAAAUUAGGGAAGUUUUCAGUCCAAUUGCUUUAUUUUUUUUUUUUUAUUAUUUUGUUUAUUUUAUUUAUUUUUGCAUUAUAGUGUUUUCUGACAUUGGGGACAAUGUCAAGUUUAAGUGUGGGGGUAGAAAUCUCCAGAAUUUCAUUUGUCUCUGUGUUGUUGUUUUUUUUUGUGUUCUUAAUUAGUUUUUUUGUUUUCUUUAAAAAAAAAAAAAAAAAAAAAAAAAAAAAAGAAAUAAAAAUUUAAAAAUCCAAAAAUAUUGUCUUGUUUCCCUUUUUGUUCUGAAUCAGAUUUUUUUUGUUAGUUUCCCGACCCAAUGAUAUAAUUAGAUCAAAUUUGAAUCAUGAUCAUCAAGAACUUAGUUAACAUGUGUUUUGUGAAAUUCCUAAUUCUCUUGUUAGUUUUGUACAUGUUUGAUCAUCUUUGAAAAACCAAAUGCACAUAGCCUUGUUGAUGUGAAACUAAAGUAUGACUUAAAGCUUCAUUUGUGAAUUUAGUGACCAUAUACAUCCUAUGUGAGUUUUUGAGCCGAUUGAAAGUGUGUGCAUUUUUCAUACACUCCUAUUCUUUCAUGUGUGAUGAACUUAUGUGAGAUACAUCUCUAGAACUUGCGUAACGAUCUUUCGAAAUGUUUGUCAUUGAUUGCAUGAACUUGGAAAUGAUAGAGGCAUUAGGUUUACCACUAUGGCCCAAAUAACCAUGUUUCCCAAAUAAAAAUGAUAUCAUUAGAUUGCCAAUUUGAGCCGUGUAUGUUGAGCCUUUUAUUUCUUAUCACCAGAUAUGUCUACCCUUAUACCUGAAACAUUUUUUCCUUACCCUUUCCAAGCAAGCUAGUGAGCAAUACGAGAUUGUCUUAUGAGAAACGUUUGUGAAUUACUUUGAAGGUGUUUGGCAAAAGAAUAAGUGUGGGGGUGUUUCAUGUUUGUAUUUAAAAAAAAAAAAAAAAAAAAAAAAAAAAAAAAAGAAAAAAAGAAAAGAAAAAGAAAGAUUGUAUACAAAGAAAAUAAAAAGUUUUUAAAGUUUCAGUUUAAGGGUGUGAUUGGAGGUAUCAGAACAAUCGUUGGAGAGCUUGAGUUCUUAUAAAUCUAAACAAAAGAAUUGCUUGCAAUGUAGCUUGGAACUUGUGUUUUCCUAUUCUUUCGUUUCAAUAACCUUAUCCCUAAGCCUCAUUACAUCCAAUAAAAGUCCUCUUGAUUUAAGUUUUGCAAUUAUGACUGUGGAGAAGUGAUCUUUAUGCAAGCUUAUGGUAGAAAUUUCACAUUUGAUUCUUUGAGCGAAACACAUUAAAACUAAACACAUGUGUGAUUGAGUGUAUAUCCCGUGAGAAGGUUGCUAGUUUGCAUAUGAUGAUUUUAAAAAUAAAAACUUGAAAUUGCAUUAGCAUGACUAUCUUACACACUACACUUCAAGGAUGAUUCAAAGAUUACUGCUAAUAUUUGAAUAAGGAAGAUGAACUUGGAUUAGUUCCUUGAUGCUAGCUAUGGUUCUUGAUGAUUUGUUUUCUUGAAUGAAAUUCUAUGAGGGUCACAUAGGGGGAAACUAAUGUUUUUCAUGUUAGUACUUUUUCUAGUUUUCUUGGUUUUGCUCGAGGACUAGCAAAAGUUAAGUGUGGGGGUAUUUGAUCGGAUCAUAUUUAUAUAUAUUUUUACUUCGAAUUCACUCGUCUUUUCUUAGUUAGUUCCUUAUAUUUUUGAGCUAUUUACGUUAUUUUUGUGUUUUUAGGAUUUGUUAUGCAAAGAAAAUAAAAAUAGAACAAGUGAAAUUUUAUGUAAUAAAUUCGUCAAACUGUCUGUGUAGAUCAUCUUUUAAAUAAAAUUAAAUAAAGAAAUAAUAAUGAUAAAUCAUGAUGAUGUUUGAAACAUCAUCAUGAUUCAUGUUUUGUUGCAGAAAAAAUAAGAGGAAGUCCACAGCGUCGGUGGGGAAGAGGGAACGCAGAAAGGAAGUAUUUCGUAUAAAGUGAUGAGCAAUUUUUAAUGAGAUGGGUGCUCUUCCUAGACGUGGCAGCGUGAAAGAAUCCAAGGAGGUCAGGGGGGUCCAAAAGGUGAGGCCUUGCAGCUGGUGAGGGAAAAGGAGAAGCGGAAAGAAUAAACGAAAAAAAAAAGAAAUGUGGAGAUAAUAACAAAAGGGAGGAGGGCAGGACAGAGAAGGAAAAAAUAAAAAGAUGGAAAGAGAGACAAGUGGGGGGAGUCAGUGAAAAAGAGGGCUGUUGGGGGCGAGAGAAGAAGAGGCUGCCUUGCGCAGCCUGAGCGCAGGAAACGGAGAGAAGACGUGCGGGAAAGAGAGAGACCACAGUGCACUGUGAUCAAGAAAACAGAAAAAAAAAAAUAUAAAGGAGAAGGCUCCUUUGAGCAGCGGAAGAGAGGGGUGCGAAGGAGAGGCACAGAGAAAAGCAAGAAAAGAAAGAGUCAGGCGGAGAGACUGGCGCGGGGAGCAGCAAGGGCAGCGUGGGCACGAACGCAGCAGAUCAUCUAUUCUCGGUUAAAUCUUUCUAAAUUUAUAUUUAUUUUCUGUUUUAAUAAUGUGUAACUAAAUUUAUUUUGGCUAGAGGUUAAUUCAAAGCCAUGAAUAUAUUUGUAAUAUGAAUUGAUUACCUUCAGUUGUGAUUUCUAAGUUGUGAUUUAAUUUGCUUAACUGCUUGAUUGAUAACUUAUUUUUGUAUGUCGAUUAAGGAUGCAUACUUAAUUUACAUGCAUGAAUUUGAUGCUAGAAUAUAAAUG